rnacentral:rRNA from 1 species
GAUGAACGCUGGCGGCGUGCCUAACACAUGCAAGUCGAGCGAACAGACGAGGAGCUUGCUCCGUUGACGUUAGCGGCGGGGGGGUGAGACACAUGUGUAAAACCCACCUAUAUGACGGGGAUCACCUCGGGAAACCGGAGCAUAAACCGGAGAAUAUACUGAACCACAGGGGGGAAUGGUGAAAGACGGCUUUGCUGUCACUUCUAGAUGGAUCCGCGCCGCAUUAGCGGGUUGGGAGGGUAACGGCUUACCAAGGCAGCGAUGCGUAGCCGACCUGAGAGGGUGAUCGGCCACACUGGAACUGAGACACGGUCCAGACUCCUACGGGAGGCACCAGUAGGGAAUCUUCCGCAAUGGGCGAAAGCCUGACGGAGCGACGCCGCGUGAGUGAUGAAGGUCUUCGGAUCGUAAAGCUCUGUUAUUAGGGAAGAACAAAUUUGUAAGUAACUAUGCACGUCUUGACGGUACCUAAUCAGAAAGCCCCGGCUAACUACGUG